CUAAUCUAUUCAUCCAAGCCUCCUGCUUCUCCAACCUAUCUCUCACAUCUCCAAACGCCCUCUCAAACCUCUGUACCAAAUCAUCCGAUGCAUUGCUAUUAUUGCCUUGUCGGCUUGAAUUUGAUUCUGCCCUUUCUGACAUCCUAACACUAAAAAUUUUAUUUUACUGCCUCACCAAAAGUCACUCGAAAACACACAAGGGCUUUUACCCUCUAUUAAGCUCACCUCUCUGCCUUUUACCACUCAGUUCUUUCAACAAUUGCUUCUAAGAACAAUCAAUGAACUCAAUCAAUCAAUCAAUUCGUGUA
rnacentral:lncRNA from 1 species